rnacentral:rRNA from 1 species
GACGAACGCUGGCGGCGUGCCUAAUACAUGCAAGUAGAACGCUGAAGAGAGGAGCUUACUCUUCUUGGAUGAGUUGCGAACGGGUGAGUAACGCGUAGGUAACCUGCCUUGUAGCGGGGGAUAACUAUUGGAAACGAUAGCUAAUACCGCAUAACAAUGGAUGACACAUGUCAUUUAUUUGAAAGGGGCAAUUGCUCCACUACAAGAUGGACCUGCGUUGUAUUAGCUAGUAGGUGAGGUAAUGGCUCACCUAGGCGACGAUACAUAGCCGACCUGAGAGGGUGAUCGGCCACACUGGGACUGAGACACGGCCCAGACUCCUACGGGAGGCAGCAGUAGGGAAUCUUCGGCAAUGGGGGCAACCCUGACCGAGCAACGCCGCGUGAGUGAAGAAGGUUUUCGGAUCGUAAAGCUCGGUUGUAAGUCAAGAACGGGUGUGAGAGUGGAAAGUUCACACUGUGACGGUAGCUUACCAGAAAGGGACGGCUAACUACGUG